rnacentral:rRNA from 1 species
GUUGCCAUCAUUAAGUUGGGCACCCUAAGGGAACUGCCGCAGUUAAUGCGGAGGAAGGUGGGGAUGACGUCAAGUCCUCAUGGCCCUUAUAUCCAGGGCUACACACGUGCUACAAUGGACGGUACAAAGGGUCGCGAACCUGUAAGGGGGAGCCAACCCCAGAAAACCGCUCUCAGUUCGGAUUGGAGUCUGCAACCCGACUCCAUGAAGUUGGAAUCGCUAGUAAUCGCGGAUCAGAACGCCCGCGGUCCGAAUACGUUCCCGGGCCUU